AGUGAACGCUGGCGGUAGGCCUAACACAUGCAAGUCGAACGGCAGCACAGUAAGAGCUUGCUCUUACGGGUGGCGAGUGGCGGACGGGUGAGGAAUACAUCGGAAUCUACUUUUUCGGGGGGGAUAACGUAGGGAAACUUACGCUAAUACCGAAUACGAGCUACGGGUGAAAGCAGGGGAUCUUCGGACCUUGCGCGAGUGAAUGAGCCGAUGUCGGAUUAGCUAGUUGGCGGGGUAAAGGCCCACCAAGGCGACGAUCCGUAGCUGGUCUGAGAGGAUGAUCGCCCACACUGGAACUGAGACACGGUCCAGACUCCUACGGGAGGCAGCAGUGGGGAAUGUUGGGCAAUGGGCGCAAGCCUGAUCCAGCCAUACCGCGUGGGUGAAGAAGGCCUUCGGGUUGUAAAGCCCUUUUGUUGGGAAAGAAAAGCAUCAGGCUAAUACCCCGCUGUUCUGACGGUACCCAAAGAAUAAGCACCGGCUAACUUCGUG
rnacentral:rRNA from 1 species